rnacentral:rRNA from 1 species
GGGUGCGAUCAUACCAGCACUAAUGCACCGGAUCCCAUCAGAACUCCGAAGUUAAGCGUGCUUGGGCGAGCACGAGAGUAGUACUAGGAUGGGUGACCCCCAGGGAUGUCCUCGUGUUGCACCCC